rnacentral:rRNA from 1 species
UCCAGACUCCUACGGGAGGCAGCAGUGGGGGAUAUUGCACAAUGGGGGAAACCCUGAUGCAGCGACGCCGCGUGGGUGAAGAAGCGCCUCGGCGCGUAAAGCCCUGUCAGCAGGGAAGAAAAUGACGGUACCUGACUAAGAAGCCCCGGCUAACUACGUGCCAGCAGCCGCGGUAAUACGUAGGUGGCAAGCGUUGUCCGGAUUUACUGGGUGUAAAGGGCGUGUAGCCGGGCUGACAAGUCAGAUGUGAAAUUCCGGGGCUCAACCCCGGACCUGCAUUUGAAACUGUUGGUCUUGAGUAUCGGAGAGGCAGGCGGAAUUCCUAGUGUAGCGGUGAAAUGCGUAGAUAUUAGGAGGAACACCAGUGGCGAAGGCGGCCUGCUGGACGACAACUGACGGUGAGGCGCGAAAGCGUGGGUAGCGAACGGGAUUAGAUACCCCAGUAC